UACGAAGGGGACUAGCGUUGUUCGGAUUUACUGGGCGUAAAGCGCGCGUAGGCGGAUCGCUAAGUCAGGGGUGAAAUCCCAGGGCUCAACCCUGGAACUGCCUUUGAUACUGACGAUCUGGAGAUCGGGAGAGGUUGGUGGAAUUCCGAGUGUAGAGGUGAAAUUCGUAGAUAUCGGGAGGAACACCAGUGGCGAAGGCGGCGACCUGGGCCAAUAUUGACGCUGAGGUGCGAAAGCGUGGGGAGCAAACAGG
rnacentral:rRNA from 1 species